AAGAGACGUUUGUUGGUUUGUGUUUGUGUGCUUGCUUGCUUGCUUGUUUAAGUGUGUGUGUGUGUGUGUGUGUGCGUGUGUCCGUGCGUGCGUUUUGACGACUAAGUGCUCUAGCCUUUUGUUGUUUUUAAAUUGUCUAUUAUUAUUUUAAAGCUAAGAAAUGCAUUCAAAGUCCAGUCCAGCGCCUUCGGGAUUAAAACAACAGGACAGGCUAAUGUGGAAAUCAAGGUCACACCUCUCUGCAGCGUCAUCUUUUCGCGUCUCAGCCCACUGUCCAGUCCUGGACCAUGGGAAUACUCUCUCACAGCAAUCAGUCACUGGUGUGGACCACAGGACCAUGGACCACAGAAGAAAACCGUAACAGAAUCACCCACCACAACAGGACCAAGUGGCGUGGUGACAGGCAGCGGCAGCAGGAGCAGUGAAGUCAGGACUAUACGACUUGGGAGGAAAUAGACAGGUGGACGGUCAACCCAGUGAGAGUGCCGGAGCCCGCCUGGGAUUCGCUGGAGCAGUGCGAGGAGGGUUAUAGGAGAAUGGAGUUGGAGAGACGAGCACGGCGGCGUGGAUAGAAGCCCGAGAGUCAGCCCCAAAAAUGUCACACAGGGAGUAUGGCGAAGCCAGGUAGGAGACCUGCGCCAACUUCCUGUGCUUACCGGGGGGCUAGAUAGACCGGGCAGGCACCGUGUUAUGCUGUGGAGUGCACGGUGUCUCCAGUGCGGGUGCAUAGCCAGCUCCUCGUAUCGGCCGGGCUAGAGUGGGCAUCGAGCCAAGUGUCAUGAAGCCGGCUCUAUGCAUCUGGUCUACAGUGCGUCUCCUUGGGCCGGCUUACAUGGCACCAGCCUUGCGCACGGUGUCCCCGGUUCGCCUGCAUAGCCCAGUGCAGGCUAUUCCACCUCGCCGCACUGGCAGGGCGACCGGGAGCAUUCAACCAGGUAAGGUUGGGCAGGCUCGGUGCUCAAGAGCUCCAGUGCGCCUGCACGGUCCGGUCUAUCCGGUACCACCUCUACGCAUCAGCCCUCCGGUGGCAGCUCCCCGCACUCGCCCAGAGGUGCGUGUCCUCUGCCCAGUACCACCAGUGCCGGCACCACGCACCAGACCUACAGUGCGCCUCGCCUGUCCAGCGCCGCCGGAGUCUCCCGCCUGUCCAGCGCCGCCGGAGUCUCCCUCCUCGCCAGCGCCGCCGGAGCCUCCCGCCUGUCCGGCGCCGCCGGAGUCUCCCGCCUGUCAGGCAGGAUCUGCCAGAGCCGCCUGUCAUCCAGGAUCUACCAGAGCCGCCAGUCAGCCAGACUCUGCCAGAGCCAUCAAACUGCCUGAGCUUCCCCUCAGUCCCUAGCUUCCCCUCAGUCCCAAGCUUCCCCUCAGUCCCGAGCUUCCCCUCAGUCCCGAGCUGCCCCUCAGUUCAGUGGGGCCCUUUGUAAGGGUUACUAGGCCAAGGUCGGCGGCGAGGGUCUCCAAUCUAAGGACGCUAAGGAGGUGGACAAAGACUAAGUUGGAGUGGGGUCCACGUCCCGCGCCAGAGCCACCACCGUGGAUAGACACCCACCCAGACCUCCCCUAUGGGUUUAGGUGUGCGGCCGGGAGUCCGCACCUUUGGGGGGGUAGUGUCACGCCCUGGCCUUAGUAUUUUGUGUUUUCUUUAUUAUUUUGGUCAGGCCAGGGUGUGACGGGUGAUUUAUGUGUCUUGUCUUGUCUAGGGUUUUUUAUAUUUAUGGGGUUGUGUUUAGUAGAGUUGUCUAGGAAAGUCUAUGGUUGCCUAGAGUGGUUCUCAAUCAGAGGCAGGUGUUUAUCAUUGUCUCUGAUUGGGAACCAUAUUUAGGCAGCCAUAUUCUUUGGGUAUUCCGUGGGUGAUUGUUUCCUGUCGUUGUGUUUGUUGCACCAUAUAGGGCUGUUUCGGUUUUUCACGGUUCUUGUUUUGUAAAUUGUUUGUAUUUUCCAUCUUUCAUUGAAGAUGUAUAAAGAUAACCAUGCUGCAUUUUGU
ensembl:lncRNA